rnacentral:rRNA from 1 species
UAGGGAAUAUUGCGCAAUGGGGGAAACCCUGACGCAGCCACGCCGUGUGAGUGAGGAAGGCCUUCGGGUUGUAAAGCUCUGUCAUAUGGGAAGAAACUCUAUCCGGGGAAAGUUCGGGUAGAUUGACGGUACCAUAGAAGGAAGCACCGGCUAACUCUGUGCCAGCAGCCGCGGUAAUACAGAGGGUGCAAGCGUUGUUCGGAAUUACUGGGCGUAAAGCGUCUGUAGGCGGUGCUGAGAGUCCUAGGUGAAAUCCCCAAGCUCAACUUGGGAACUGCCUGGGAGACCUCAGUACUAGAGUACGAAAGGGGUCGCUGGAAUUCCAUGUGUAGCGGUGAAAUGCGUAGAUAUAUGGAGGAACACCUGUGGCGAAGGCGGGCGACUGGUUCGAGACUGACGC